rnacentral:rRNA from 1 species
UACGUAGGGUGCAAGCGUUAAUCGGAAUUACUGGGCGUAAAGCGUGCGCAGGCGGUUCCUCAAGUCAGAUGUGAAAUCCCCGGGCUCAACCUGGGAACUGCAUUUGAAACCACGGAGCUAGAGUGUGUCAGAGGGGGGUGGAAUUCCACGUGUAGCAGUGAAAUGCGUAGAUAUCGGGAGGAACACCUGUGGCGAAAGCGGCUCACUGGACCACAACUGACGCUGAGGCGCGAAAGCUAGGGGAGCAAACAGG